CACGUAGGGGCCAAGCGUUGUCCGGAUUUAUUGGGCGUAAAGAGCUCGUAGGCGGUUCGGUAAGUCGGGUGUGAAAACUCUGGGCUCAACUCAGAGAUGCCACUCGAAACUGCUGUGACUAGAGUCCGGUAGGGGAGCACGGAAUUCCUGGUGUAGCGGUGAAAUGCGCAGAUAUCAGGAGGAACACCGGUGGCGAAGGCGGUGCUCUGGGCCGGAACUGACGCUGAGGAGCGAAAGCGUGGGUAGCAAACAGG
rnacentral:rRNA from 1 species